rnacentral:rRNA from 1 species
UACGUAGGGACCAAGCGUUGUUCGGAUUUACUGGGCGUAAAGGGCGCGUAGGCGGCAUGACAAGUCACUUGUGAAAUCUCCGGGCUUAACUCGGAACGGUCAAGUGAUACUGUCGCGCUAGAGUGCGGAAGGGGCAAUCAGAAUUCUUGGUGUAGCGGUGAAAUGCGUUGAUAUCCACAGGAACUCCGGUGGCGAAGGCGGCACGCUGGACCCGAUCUGACGCUGAGGCGCGAAAGCCAGGGGAGCAAACGGG